UACGUAGGGUGCGAGCGUUGCCCGGAUUUAUUGGGCGUAAAGGGCGCGCAGGCGGCUACGCACGUCCGUUGUGAAAUCGCUCGGCUCAACUGGGCGGGGUCAGCGGAUACGGCGUAGCUGGAGCAAGCUAGGGGGCAAUGGAAUUCCCGGUGUAGUGGUGGAAUGCGUAGAUAUCGGGAGAACACCGGUGGCGAAGGCGGUCACCUGGGCCUUGACCUGACGCUG
rnacentral:rRNA from 1 species